CGAGGAUCUUCGGCAAUGGGCGAAAGCCUGACCGAGCGACGCCGCGUGUGGGAUGAAGGCCUUCGGGUUGUAAACCACUGUCAACGGGGAGGAAAUGCAGGAGGGUACUCCCUCCUGUUUGACCUAUCUGUGGAGGAAGUACGGGCUAAGUUCGUGCCAGCAGCCGCGGUAAGACGAACCGUACAAACGUUAUUCGGAAUCACUGGGCUUAAAGGGUGCGUAGGCUGCGCGGUAAGUUGGGUGUGAAA
rnacentral:rRNA from 1 species